rnacentral:tRNA from 1 species
GGGCGAUUAGCUCAGUUGGUAGAGCAGUUGACUUUUAAUCAAUUGGUCGCAGGUUCGAGUCCGGUAUCGCCCACCA